rnacentral:rRNA from 1 species
GACGAACGCUGGCGGCGUGCUUAACACAUGCAAGUCGAACGGAAAGGCCCUGCUUUUGUGGGGUUCUCGAGUGGCGAACGGGUGAGUAACACGUGAGUAACCUUCCCUUGACUUUGGGAUAACCUCAGGAAACUGGGGCUAAUACCUGAUAGGAGCUCCUGCUGCAUGGUGGGGUUUGGAAAGUUUAGGCGGAUGUGGAUGGACUGGCGGGUUAUCAGCUUGUUGGUGGGGUAGUGGCUUACCAAGGCUUUGACGGGUAGCCGGCCUGAGAGGGUGACCAGCCACAUUGGGACUGAGAGACGGACCAGACGCGUACGGGAGGCAGCAGUGGGGAAUAUUGCACAAUGGGCGGAAGCCUGAUGCAGCAACGCCGCGUGCGGGAUGAAGGCCUUCGGGUGGUAAACCGCUUUCGCCUGUGACGAAGCGUGAGUGACGGUAAUGGGUAAAGAAGCACCGGCUAACUACGUG